UCUGGCGGCAGUAGCGCGGUGGUCCCACCUGACCCCAUGCCGAACUCAGAAGUGAAACGCCGUAGCGCCGAUGGUAGUGUGGGGUCUCCCCAUGCGAGAGUAGGGAACUGCCAGA
rnacentral:rRNA from 3 species